rnacentral:rRNA from 1 species
GAUGAACGCUGGCGGCGUGCCUAAUACAUGCAAGUCGAGCGAACAGACGAGGAGCUUGCUCCUUUGACGUUAGCGGCGGACGGGUGAGUAACACGUGGGUAACCUACCUAUAAGACUGGGAUAACUUCGGGAAACCGGAGCUAAUACCGGAUAAUAUUUCGAACCGCAUGGUUCGAUAGUGAAAGAUGGCUCUGCUAUCACUUAUAGAUGGACCUGCGCCGUAUUAGCUAGUUGGUAAGGUAACGGCUUACCAAGGCAACGAUACGUAGCCGACCUGAGAGGGUGAUCGGCCACACUGGAACUGAGACACGGUCCAGACUCCUACGGGAGGCAGCAGUAGGGAAUCUUCCGCAAUGGGCGAAAGCCUGACGGAGCAACGCCGCGUGAGUGAUGAAGGUCUUCGGAUCGUAAAACUCUGUUAUUAGGGAAGAACAAACGUGUAAGUAACUGUGCACGUCUUGAUGGUACCUAAUCAGAAAGCCACGGCUAACUACGUG